rfam:Asian citrus Psyllid, Diaphorina citri - Florida Strain, whole genome shotgun sequence.
GCUCCCAUGGCGUAGUGGUCAUUGCGCUCGCCUUGCACGCGGGAGACCCGGGUUCGAUUCCCGGUGGGGUCA